rnacentral:rRNA from 1 species
CCUACGGGAGGCAGCAGUUAGGAAUAUUGGACAAUGGGGGCAACCCUGAUCCAGCCAUGCCGCGUGUGUGAAGAAGGCCUUAGGGUUGUAAAGCACUUUCAGCUGUGAAGAUAAUGACAGUAGCAGAAGAAGAAGCUCCGGCUAAAUUCGUGCCAGCAGCCGCGGUAAUACGAAUGGAGCGAGCGUUGUUCGGAAUCACUGGGCGUAAAGGGUGCGCAGGCGGUCAUGAAAGUUAGAAGUGAAAUCCCAGGGCUUAACCCUGGAAUGGCGUUUAAAACUCCAUGACUAGAGUACUGGAGAGGUUGGCGGAAUUCCGAGUGUAGAGGUGAAAUUCGCAGAUAUUCGGAGGAACACCAAUGGCGUAGGCAGCCAACUGGACAGUAACUGACGCUCAUGCACGAAAGCGUGGGGAUCAAACAGGAUUAGAUACCCUGGUAGUCCACGCCCUAAACGAUGUGUGCUAGUUGUCGGGUUCUUAGAACUCGGUGACGCAGUUAACGCUUUAAGCACACCGCCUGGGGGAGGUACGGUCGCGAGAUAAACUACAAGAAGUAGAGCGUGAGACGUGCCGACGGACGACGACGAGGGAGAGG